CAGUAAUGAAAGGUUGUACGCGCUGAUUGUUUUGGUUCUUCAUGGUUUCUAAGGUUUAAAGGCAUGAGGGUCCGCUACAGUAAGAGCUUCAUCUUCGCUGGUUCAGAUGCUCGCUGCACGUGCUGACUCACGGUUUCACCGUGACGAUGGUCAAUGGACUGCAGGACUUCGGAAUCGGCGUGAUGGUCUACGGAGCUGAGACACGAACAAGAAUCUGAAAGCCUGCUCCAGACGGGAACAGAAGGUACAAAAGAAAAGGAUAUAAAAGGUUUUGAAAGCAUGCCUCCUGCUUGUGAGACCACACCCACUCAUUCUUUUUUUCUAGCAGACAUCUGAGUGGAGCAGAACGUGUUGAUAGCUGGGGAAUGAAUUUGGCCAGGUGAGGAUUUAUUCGAGCUGCACUCUGUGGACUUGGAGCUGGAGGCCAUGCAGAAGCAGAUCCACAACCUAUAAAUGAAGCUAGCCCAGCUGUGAGAUCGGAACGCCGCGCUGGAAUCAUCCCGGAUUGACGCUCACCUGUCCCAGGUAAAUCCGUGGCGUGAAACAAACACUCCCACAACCUCAACUCCGUGUUCUUCUCUGCCCAGGCCCAACGCACCAAGGACGCGGCCCGCCCAGGUUUCCUUCACUCCGGUGCCUGGGUACCACGCAGCCUGGAUGCAGCAGCAGCGGAAGACACGAGCCAAGCCCUGGGCGAGGACCUCUCCCCACCCGUUUUCGAGAUCUCAACCCGCAACCACUUCGCUCCCCUUUGCGAGACGGAGUGCGAUGUGGUGAUCAUCGGAGACUCCACACAUCCGUGCUACUGCGGCUAAAGGUAAGGUGCGCACUCGCUGUUUUCCUGGUACUCGUGUUGUUGAUGUCACUGCACAGGUACAGCGAUCCUGAAUAAGAACAUCGGAGCUGUGGUCCUCCAUGCUGGCAUGAACGACAUCAGGCUGAGGCAGACGGAGAUCCUGAAGAAGGACUUCAGGAGCCGAUUCCGACUAAAAAAGCCAUCCCGAGGCAUACAGAGAUUGUGCCAGCUCCAGUGGCAUCCAGAGAUGGACCAGCUCCAGCCGGGUUCUGCUUUGUGAGGAUUCGGGUAUUCAAAGCAACACUGCCAACCUUAUGUGGACGACAACAACCUCCUUAUUAUUUUACAUAACAUUCUACACAUGCUGUAUCUGCAUCACACAAUUGACUAUACAUAAAUGCACAAAGGACAUUGUUCAUAUCACACUCUCUGGUGUUUACAAUAAUUUAUAAUCACACUCUCCACUGUCACCCAAAUGAGGAUGGGUUCCCUUUUGAGUCUGGUUCCUCUCAAGGUUUCUUCCUCAUACCAUCUAAGGGACUUUUUCCUUGCCACAGUCACCUCAGGCUUGCUCACUUGAGAUAACAUCUAGGACUGUUUGCCUGUUUAUAUGUUUGUUGUUUCUUAUGUAAAGCUGCUUUGAUGGAACGCUCUUUGUUAAAAGUGCUAUAAAAAUAAAAUUGAAUUGAUUUGAAUGUGCAUGUAAAGGCAGACGUCCCAAAACUUUUGGCUAUAAAGUCGAUAUUACUAUUUGCACAUACUGAACACUUGUAAAUAAAUUACAGUGUUUUCUCUAAGUCAACCUUUAGGGACAUAAUAAUCACAUUGGACGAAGGCGUAUUUGGAAGGAGAACUGCUGGAUGCAGGAGGAUUUGGCUGUGUGUUUGCUGGACUACGCAAAGAAGACGGAUUGCCAGUUGCAAUCAAGUACGUCUCCAAAAAGAUGCCAUAUGAAAAACUGCAGCUUACAGGAUAUGGAUGGCUGCCCAUUGAGAUAGCUUUGAAGAUCCUUGCAAACACAGAACCUUGCUCAAAAAUCCAGAAGAUUCUGGACUGGCACGAAGAGGCAAAGUGAUAUAUCGUACUCCUGGAACAGCCUGAACCAUGUGUGGACCUCGAGGAACUCUCCGGCAAGCAAGGUGGAUGUUUGACUGAGGUCGAGGCUCGCAAUGUGAUGUUUCAGCUGAUGGAAGCAUUGAAGCAUUGCAAGAGCCAGGGGAUACUGCAUCGUGAUGUCAAGCCAGAAAACAUUCUGAUUCAGACAGACACGUUUCAAGUCAAGCUGUUUGACUUGAAAGAGACCUCGUCAAAGACCCUUACAGUUACUUUGCAGGUGUCUGAUGUCUAAAUCUAAUGUAUCUUUGUUAACACUUGAAUAUGCCCCUCCUGCUCCCCGAAAGUCUGUCUCAAGGCAAGGAACUAUACUCAAUUUAAUACUUUUGAAAAAGUCAAGAACUUUGAGUCUGUAUCUUUGUCCCGCUGAACAGUAACACGUCGAAUUUCUGACUUUCAAUGUCAAAUCUAAGAAAAGCUGAAACUUGCAAUAAACAAUUGCAAAUACUGGCACAGACGUGACAGAUGCCAGUCAGCUCCUGAUCUUUGCAAGAACGAUUACAGAGAACUUUGAUGUUCAAGAGGAGCUGUUAAAGCUUGCUUCAUUACAUGACACCACUUUUUCAGAACUGACACUGAAAAGGGAAAUUAAAAAGUUUUUGGAUUUAGGGUCUCUAGCUUAUAUAAUCAAUGAGAAAAUGAAUCUCAAAUAGCAAGCAUUCUGUUAUUUAGAAAUGAGUUUGUAUUGUGAUUUUCCUUUUGAAUUACCAAAGACCUGAGGAAUUACUGUACAAUGUCUGUUUAAUCAUUGCCUCUCAGUCCUAUGUAGACGUUGUGUUGGAAUGUAAUGUUAAGCUCCAACUCUUCUGCAUUCACGCGUCUCCUGAACAUCUCCCGAUCAGCUACCGGCUCUUUGCGUGUUCGCUCGGCCGAGGUGGAGGGUCAGCGCGCACACAGGAGCAGCAGUGGAGUGAAGUUCUGUGUUGUGUCCGAUCGUCAGUCAAGAGGAGCUGAACAUGCCUUAGAGUUCUUGUACUUGUUGGAUUCUGUAUCACAAGUCAGAGUCUGCUGUUGUGUGGACCACCUGUCUGGCAUUAAACUGACACCAAAACCAGCACAUGUUCACAUGUUCAUAAUUAUACCUGGCUGCUUGAUCUGAAAUUUUUUACAUCACUUAAGUAUGUGGUGGUGUAUUCAUCAAGUGCAAAUGACAGAAAUUUCAAGAAAAUUUUCAUGAUGUACCAAGUUUUUUUUUUUCUUUUUUCUUUUUCCACUCUGUUUCCUUCACCUGUCUGUCUUGUCAUUGAGAACUUUGAAAGGGCUCAAAGUUGAAUGUAAUCCACCAUCUAAUUGUUCAUACUAAUUUUCAGGAUCAAAUAUAUAUAUAUAUAUAUAUAUAUAUAAUCAUUGUUUACAACCUGUGUCUUGUGUUGUGUACCACACAAAUGGGCAGAUUAGUGCAGUUAGUGGACAGUAAUAACCGCUUAAUAUUUUAACAUGGUGUACAGGAUUAACAUAAGUAAAGUUGUCUUUAUUUGUCACAUGUACAUUACUGCACAGUGAAAUUCAUUCUUCGCGUAUCCCAUCCUUGGGGGUUGGGGUCAGAGCACAGGGUCAGCCAUGCUGCAGCACCCCUGAUGCAGCAGGGUGGGU